rnacentral:tRNA from 1 species
GGCGCUAUGGUGUAGUGGCAGCACAUGGGAUUCUGAUAUUCAGUGUCUUCCCAUAACCCAGGUUCGAACCCUGGUAGUGCCU